ACGAUGCCGGGGAGGAACCAGUCAUCUUCUUUGCUAACUGAUCAAAGCAUGAAGUCUAAGAAGCAAAAAGUUGAAGAUAGUUGUCUGACAAAUCACAUUAAUGGAGGAUUAUGUGAAAACAAUGUUAAUGAUUUUUGGCAAAUGGUUCCAAGUGGAUUCACGUUUUGCCCUACAAGAGCUAAUCAUGGCCCAUUUGAGGAAGAAAGUGAUGAAUGAGCCAUUGAAACCAAACCCAAUUAUUAAAGUUGAAGUCUUUAAGUUCAAUCCUGAACAAUUAUCCAGACAAUGUAGGAGUUGGGGGUCUAGAGAAAAUGUGUGGUACUUUUUCUCACCAAUAUGUCAAAAUGGAUCAAUACAAGAUGGCCAUUGGAAGCGACAGGAAAAUGUCGGUCCAUCCAUUCUGAUGAUGGCAGAACAUUAAUUGGAAAACGUAGAACUUUGAUUUAUUAUAAAGGGAAUCAUCAAAGGAGCAAGAAGACCAAUUGGAUCAUGCAUGAGUAUUAUUUGGAUCUGACAACACAUGCAAGAGUGAGUUCUUUAGAUACGAAGUUGGGUGAUUGGGUUCUAUGUAAGAUUUACAACAACAAGAAUGUCAUAAAAAGCUAUACUAAGGAGGACGCACAGUGGUUAGAACCAUAUUUAAGAAAAGAAUCAAUUCAAAUGACUCAUUCUUCUCAAUAUCAUCCUCAACCUCAAUCACAGCUUGAAAGCCACAGUAUGGAUAUGAUUCAGUUGGAUAAUUCUCAUUCAUUAGAAAUCUCUCAUGCUUCUCCUAGACCUCCAUCUUUUUAUGAAAUUAUAAACAAAAUGACUCAUUCUUCUCAA